CCUACGGGAGGCAGCAGUGGGGAAUAUUGCACAAUGGGGGAAACCCUGAUGCAGCAACGCCGCGUGAAGGAAGAAGGCUUUCGAGUUGUAAACUUCUAUCAACAGGGAAGAAAGAAAUGACGGUACCUGAAUAAGAAGCCCCGGCUAACUACGUGCCAGCAGCCGCGGUAAUACGUAGGGGGCAAGCGUUAUCCGGAAUUACUGGGUGUAAAGGGAGAGUAGGCGGCAUGGUAAGUAAGAUGUGAAAGCCCAGGGCUUAACCGUGGGAUUGCAUUUUAAACUAUCAAGCUAGAGUACAGGAGAGGUAAGCGGAAUUCCUAGUGUAGCGGUGAAAUGCGUAGAUAUUAGGAAGAACACCAGUGGCGAAGGCGGCUUACUGGACUGAAACUGACGCUGAGGCUCGAAAGCGUGGGGAGCGAACAGGAUUAGAUACCCUA
rnacentral:rRNA from 1 species